GACGAACCGUCCAAACGUUAUUCGGAAUCACUGGGCUUAAAGGGUGCGUAGGCGGAGAGGCAAGUCAGAGGUGAAAGCCCACGGCUCAACCGUGGAAGUGCCCCUGAAACGGCCUCUCUCGAGGGAGAUAGGGGCGUGCGGAACUCAGAGUGGAGCGGUGAAAUGCGUAGAUAUUCUGAGGAACACCGGUGGCGAAAGCUGCACGCUGGGUCUUUUCUGACGCUGAGGCACGACAGCUAGGGGAGUAAACGGG
rnacentral:rRNA from 1 species